rnacentral:lncRNA from 1 species
GGGGUAAAUUAAUGUUUAGGACUAUUUUUUUUAAAAAAAAACUUCAAAUACCACCCUUGUGGUUUCGCACUUCUUCACUUUAGUACCCUGUGGUCUAAAGUCUAUCAAUUUAGUACCCUAUGGAUACACCUCACUUUAGUACUCUGUGAUUUAAAGUGCAUCAAUUUAGUACCAUGUGGUUUCUUUUUUUUUUCUUUUCGUCGGCUCCUCUGUUAAUGUUUCAUUAAAUUAUAUAAAAAAAACUUUAGAUACCAUACCUAGAUUUGUCGAAUAUUUACUUUCUUAGUUUUAAUUUUGUCACUGAUAUUUUUUCCUCUGUUAAUAUUUCGUUAAAUUAUAUACAAAAAACUUCAGAUACCCUACCUAGGUUUAUCGAAUAUUCACUUUAGUACCCUUUAAUUUUAACUUUGUCACUGAUUUAACGUAAAAAAUUAGUGAAAUGGAUAAUAAAAAGAGAAAAAUGAAACCAAAGGGUACUAAUUUGAUACACUUUAAACCACAAGGUACUACAGUGAGAAAGUGCAAAACCACAUGGGCUAACUUGAUACACUUUAAACUAUAUGGUACUAAAGUGAAAAAGUGUAAAACCACAGGGAGUAUUUGAAGUUUACCUUUUUUUUUUAAAAAAAAAAAACUGCUUAAGCAAGGUGGGCCUAGAGGCCCAAGUAGAGAUCAUAUGUAUAGAUCUAUGUAUGAACUACCAUUUUUUUAACUUUUCCCCUGAGAAUGUCUGUAGGCCUGCGCACAUACACACACAAUUUUACUUCUACAUCUCACUGGUGGAAGAGUCUCUUGUUGCUCUUGUUAAUAAUACCGGUAGAGAACGAUAUUUUAAAUAUUUUUAUAUUUAAUACUUCUUAUUUGGUGGUGGGAAAUCUCUUGUUGCUUUUGUUAAUAAUACUAGUACAGAACGGUAGUUUAAAUAUUUUUAUAUUUAACAUUUCUCUCGACCCAUGACGUGGAUUUGAAUUAAAAGGAAGAAAAGUAAUAAUGUAAGGAGUUUGACGUGACUCGAAUUCGGAAUCUCCUGUUCUGAUAUUAUGUUAAAUAAUACGAAACAAUCGUUAUUCUCUAAAAACUUAAGCCGGUAAAAAAUAGUAUUUUAAAUAUUUUUAUAUUUAACAGCUUUAUUUUUGUUCUAUUAUUAAUAUAGUUAUUUCCUUUCUCUCUUUCUCUCUUUCAGUUGACCAAGUUAUAUGUGUGU